rnacentral:rRNA from 1 species
UACGGGGGGGGCAAGCGUUGUUCGGAAUUACUGGGCGUAAAGGGCUCGUAGGUGGCCAACUAAGUCAGACGUGAAAUCCCUCGGCUUAACCGGGGAACUGCGUCUGAUACUGGAUGGCUUGAGUUCGGGAGAGGGAUGCGGAAUUCCAGGUGUAGCGGUGAAAUGCGUAGAUAUCUGGAGGAACACCGGUGGCGAAGGCGGCAUCCUGGGCCGGAACUGACGCUGAGGAGCGAAAGCGUGGGUAGCAAACAGG